AUUCAUUCAUCAGGCUGUCCUGGAAGGCUUUGACUGAGCAAGCCAAAUGUCCACACUAAGGCCACCCUGAGGUGACUGACAACUGAAAGGUUCAUGUUCAUCACAUACCUACAGCUGGCUGGCAUGACUCUCAAAAGGAAUCUGGGCAAUGUGUCACAUGUGCCACACUGAACAUUCCUGCUCAUAUGCCUUGCUCCUUGGGGGCUAGGUUCUCUCCAGCAACAUGAUCAUGGAUAGAGCCAUUCACAUGAGAAAACUCCAACUGUGCUGAAGUACUACCACACAUGCCACACCAAACCAGAACAAGAUGCAGAACUCAGAACUCCUCCAGUGCCAUGCCUGGCUGGACACUCACAUGCUUCCCGCCAUGAUGAUAAAGGACUUAACCUCAGAACCAAUCAUUGUCCAUCACUGGAGGAAGCCAAGAUAAGAACUCAAGCAAUGUCUGGAACCUGGAGGCAGGAGCUGAUACAGAAGCAAUGAAAAGACAUUGAAGAGAGGAAACUGUUCCCGUGAGUGAUUCUUUUCCUCAUGCUUGCCUGAGCCACAGAGUGUGUUUUCUCACUCAAGUAAAAUUCUC
rnacentral:lncRNA from 1 species